GGGUCACGCCACACCCCAGGGCCACCCACCACACCUCCUCGGGACCCUGACCCGCCAGUGCCCACUCCUCCGGAGGGUUUCUCCCCACAGCAGGUACGCCCGGGAACAGCUGGGUGCUGUUGGCCAGGUAGGCCUGGAAGCCUAGGGCCCCAAGGGGGAGAGUGGGGUCCCCCAGAGCUGCACAAGACCUACAGUCACCCCACUGGACUGAGCCGGACUGAGACUGCUGUGGGGUCCCCCAUGAAAAGACCACAGACCCCUCAUAGCUUCAGCCCUUGGGGGCACCAGCUGCCCAGACUCCAGGUAUGGGGCAAGGUUCCAGGACUCCAGACAUACCAGGUCCAAAUCCCACCCUUCUCGGAGGGCUUAGCGUUGCAGGGACUGUGGGAGCCAAGCGCAGCCUUGUUCUGUGCAGAAAGAAAAAAAAAUUCUUUUAAAGCAAAAGCCAAACAAAAGCUGCCUGAGUUAUUUUUAAAAAUCGGCUAUUUUGGGGCAGGCAUGUCUCCAGGACGGCAGCCGGACCCGCCUCUCAGCCACUGCACCCUCCAGUCCCCCCUACCCAGCUUGACCUGGGAGGGCCACGGUUCCCAG
rnacentral:lncRNA from 1 species